CAAGGCUAUGGAAGCCUCUUCAGUUCACCAACUCUGAACUUGUUUAGUUAAGGCCAUAUCACAGUGGAGGUUCCUUCCUCCCUUCAUAGAAAGGUGCCUCCUUGUUUGAUGGCCCGUUCUUUCUGCUGGGAUCUUGUUCAUCAAGAUCUUUCAUUCAGGUCUUUUUUGCCACAAUGUCUUGGCUUUCCAUGCCUGUGAGACUCUCAUGGGCCUUUUAGCCAGAUCCGAAUGCCCCAAGGGUAGAUUCUGAGGCCAAAGUGCUGUUUAAGGCAUUUGCCUUUCUUUGAGUCUGCUGUGUAUCUUGCUUCCCCCACCGGAUCAUUCUCUCCCUUUUAAUUCUAUCCUUCAUUAUUUGCAGACACUGGUCUUAUUUGUGAAAUCUCUUCGACACUUAACCUCUCUUUUUGAUCAAUUAUGUACUUAAACUUAUCACUUUAACAAGUGAGAUGGCAUUGGUACAUGCCUCCUUGAUAAGAUUGAAUUGGAAUCCCCUGGCGCAUUUCUAGCUCUACCAUUGGAGGUUGUUAUAAAGGUUAAAAGGAACAUGCCAGAUGUGAAUGGUACUAUUGGUGUUCCAGAUGUCAGUGCUGAAGACCCAAGUUACUAGGUAUCUGAUAGUGCAAAUGGUGGAUGGAAGAGGUCAUGCUUUGGGAAUGCUGAUGGGCAAAAUAUGAUUGAACUUGGAGUUUCAACUAUAAAACCCGGAAGGAGGGUAGUGCAUAUUCAUAUUCUCUCUCUCCCUCUGUCUCUCUCAGAUACAUAUCCUCCACAAUGUAGUUCCAGUUUAAAGUACAGCACAAAUAUUUGUCCCACUGGAGUCAAAAUGAAGCAAUGGUAAAAUAUUGGUCAUUCCCAACUGUGUUUGGCAUAGGUAGUAACCUUGCCCUUGGGAGUACACGAACAGCAUAUAUUUUCUAAAGCCAGAAUCAAUCUUUGGCCUCUCCUUAAGGACACUGGUGGGAGAAACCCUACCUAGGCAUGAGUAGGCAACAGGCAGAGGCCAGGAAGUAGGUAUAGAGCAGAUAAUAGAGAAGGAAAGGAGGUAAGUAUGGGGGGAGGGGAAGAGGAAGACAGAAAGGAUGCAGAAAGAACUCUACAUUUGGGGGAAUGAAGAUAAUUACCAGCUGGGUGUGUGUUCAGAUUUGGGGCUGGAAUCCCAGCUGUGCUGCAGGCUGACCCUGGGGCCCAAAGCAAUUGACUCAACUCCUCCGAUUCUUGCUUCCCUUAAUUCUGAAGUGAGGUCAAUACUAUCUGUCUUGUGGGGAGCAGCCCGGACUGGACUGAGUUACUGGAAUUAAGACUUAUUCUAUGCAUCUGCUCUCCCACAAUAUGGCGCUGGGAGAGAAGUAAACAGCUUCCGCACAGCUGCCUCCAGUUCAACUGAUAAACUGUAGGACUUGCUCCUGAUUGGAGGAGAGCAGCGUACUCGGCGUGUGGGCAGCCGAGUUGGGAUUGGCGGAGGAGGACUAUAAAGGAGGAGAGAGACGGCAUGCACCGGGGAACAUCUAUGGGGAACAUCUAGCUGAAGGAACACCUGUGCAGCCCCCGAGACGAGCCGGCCGGCGGUGUGCCGCUCCCCUGCGGAAGUGGGGAAUGUGGCCAGGGGGAACUGCCCUUCCACGGAGGUGGAAGGGAUAGUAGCCAACCCGGGAAGAACCAGCAGCAAACCCGGGGAGGGCCGAGCAGACGAAAGAACAGCGCAGGGUCCUGUGUCGUUCCUCCACGAAGAGGGGGAGCGACAUGUCUUUGCACAUUUGCAGUUAGUGUAGCAGGACACGAGGUGCAGGUAGUAAUUUUUGUGUGUGCAUGGGUGUGUUCUCACCCAGAGUUGUGUGAGUUCCUUCUGUGAAAAAAAGCAGUGGUUUCCCACUCAUGCUAUCUGGUGGGCGCGCCUUUUCUUCAGCUGUUCUCUAUCUCACUCCCAUCACAGGGAAGUGCAUCCUGGGAGCCUGGGUGUGAUGAUGGCGCUGGGAGUUAUGGGAAGGUGUUCCAGGAGAAUGUGCAGACCGGGCUGGCCUAGGGAAGUAUACAGCGGCCCACACGAAUGGAGCACACCCUCUCAAAACCCUUCUCUGCUGGGGCUUUGGUGAGUUGUUCUGUGUCAUCGUCAUGUGCAGAGACUCCCAUUGAGAGCAUCCGUCACGACGGCAUGUGCAGCACGUCUCCAGAAACGAUAGUCUCUGUUUGGCUACCUUUGAACACAACAGUCAGCACUCCUUGGGAGAAGUUUUCCAGGCUUAUAAGCAUGUGCCUAGACACACUGUUCAUCCUCAUUUGAACACCCUGAGCUGAAGGAUAUACCAGGGACAUACGAGGUAUUUUUCUGAAACCCAGGCAUACUAUGUUCACACUAUCCCUAAAGUUAUUCAGCCUAGCAAGUAAUUCUACCAAAUACAUUGUGUUGUAUUUUGAAACUGUUUUUUUUUUAAAUAUGCUCUAAUUUUCCUAAGAAUGGAUAAGUAAUGAGUUUAUAGUUUCCUGGAAUAAUUCUUUAGCUUCCUUUUCAAAACUCAAGAACUAUUCCGUCUUCAAGGUUGUCUAUUCUUCAAGCUGACACAGAGCUACCCUGAGAUACAGAAGUGAACCCUGUAACACCUGAGCUGCAGUUACUCUAUGUUCUGCUUUGUGAGUUUCUUUUUAAGUAAAAUAGUAAUUCUGUAGUAAAAUCUGAACAUUCUCCUACUCAUGUGUUAUCUCAUGUGACCCUUGCAGCCACUUGGGAGGUCUGCAGGACUCAGGCUCCCAUCAUCCCCUGGGACUUGGUGGGGGGAUGGGGGUUAAGUAACUCACUCAACGUCUCACUGCUACCAGCUGGCAGAACUUGUAUCUGCCAAGCCCGGAUCUUUGCGUUGAUUUUUGAAUGUCUUGUUGCAUAAGUGUUCUCUUGUAUGCAUGUUAAGGUGUUCUUCAAAGAAAAUAAGCUACCAGUAAACAAACAAGAACACACACACACACACACACACAGCUGUCCAAUAGAACAUUCUGUGAUGAUAGAAAUUCUCCAUCUGUACCAGUUAAUUAUGAUAGUCAUUAGCCACCUGUGGCUAUGGAGCAGUUAAAAUGUGGCUAGUGUGGUGGAGGAACUGGAUAUAUUUUAUUUUUAAUUGAAAUAGCCACACACUAGAGAGGCCUAUGUCCGGGAGUUGCAGGGGUGGGGGGCAGGUAGGGCUCCAUCCAGAAGUCCCUUUCCCAGACUGUAGACCUGAGGGAAGAGCGCUCCCCGGGAGAAGGGCAGAGGAACAAUGCGAGGGCAUCCUGAGUGCCAUGAGCAUUUACGCCAAGGAGAUGAGAUGUUUAAACCACAAGAAACCUCUUGGGAGGGACAAAGUGAAUGGAGACGGGGCCUCAAGAGCUUGGGGAAACUGGCUGCACCUCUGCACAGCAGUCCUGAUGUGGAAAUCGGAAAUCCACCACAUGAAGGACGCUCAGGCCCUUUGGGACUUUUUCCCGACUGAGUUGCUGUUCUAGGGUCAUGCAGCCCUUUGUAUGAGCCUCUGGUUCUAUGUCCUGCUUUCUAAUUCCGCACAUUUCAAAGCGUGGAUCUCAUCAGGGAGUUUUCUAUGCGGGUCACUGGUUUUGUUGAUCCUGCUUAGAAGGAACAUGAAACUUGCUGACCGCCUUUCUCAGAGUGGGACAGCCAGGGCCCUAACAGGUAGCAGGGGUGGUGCCCCGGGCCCAGACUCGUGCCAGGCUGCCUCCACUCAGAUCCUGGAUGUGCCACUUCUGAGCUGCAUGACCUUGGAAGGCUCUGUGCCUCUGUUUGCACGUCUGUAAAGUGGGGAUGGUAAUGAUACCUUUGGAGGCCAGUGAGAGCACUGAAUGAGUGAGCGUAUCUAGGAGUGCCAGAUCACUGUCCAUGAUUAAUACUGUUGUUGUAGGCUAGCCCCAUUCUGGGCCUUUCUCUCCGCUAAAAGAGCUUUACUGCUAAUCCUGGCAUAAGCAGUGGACCUCACCUUGUUCCUGGAGUCUCAUGCCUGAUGCUCAGACCCAUGCGGCACCCUGUCUGCCUGGGGUGGCUCCUGCUCAGUUCUCACCUACAGCUCUCAAGCCACCUGUCUGUAGGUGUGCUGUUGCCUUUGGAAGCCUGCUGGUCUAGCUGCCCUGCCUGUCCUUCCCUUAGGUUCUGCCCUUGGUGUCUGACCUCUGCUGCCUCUCAGCGUGUCUCCUUUCUAUUUCCAAACAAGCAUUGUUUUAGGGGUCAAAUAAGAAUUCUUGUUUUAUUUUGGGGUAACUGUUGUUAAAUAUUGUUUUGUAUCUACUUGAGAGGUAAAGAGACAGAGAGAGAGAGUGCUCACCCGUCUGCUGACGCACUCCCCACUUGCCUGCAAUGGCUGGGACCAAGCUGGAGCAGGGAGCAGAGACUGCAGAUAUUACUUUAGGGGUCUGUAUUGGCAAGGAGCUGGAAUCAGGAACCAGACCUGGGCUUCACUUUGCUGUGAGACCUCGACAUCUUAACUGCUAGGUCAAAUGUUCACUGCUAACUUAUGUUACUGGACUGUAUUUUUUUUAAUAAAAAUUUAUUCAUUUUUACCUACUUGAAGGCAGAGAAACAGAGAGGAAGCGAGUGAACAAGUGGGAGCUGGGAUGGGGGUGGAGAUCGUCCAACCAAUGAUUCAAUCCCCAGAUGCUCAAAGUAGCCAGGGACCAGGCCAGGCCAAAGCCAGGAACCUAGAACUCAGUCUGGAUCUUCCGUGGGGGUGGCAAGCACCCCAAGCACUUGGGACAUCUUCUGAUGCUGCCCAGGAUUCAUGAGCAGGAAGCUAGUUGGGAAGUGAAGUGGCUGGGUCUUGAACCGGCAUUCGGAUUUGGGAUGUGGGCAUCCCAAGUAGUGGCUGUGCCACAAAAUCUGCCCCAAGGAAUUGUGUAUCUUUUGGCACUGAUAUCAAAACCUAUUUUUUCUUAAAUUUUGAGGUCUAUUGAUGUAAAUUCUACCAUUUUCUUUGGACAUUCCAGGCUAAGAACUCAUUCUUCUGUUCAUUCACCAGACUUUGUUUACUGAGAGUCUGUAAUGCACCAGACACUGUGCUUGGUGCCAGACAUGACAGUUUUCCACACUUUUAGGAUACAGGAGGGUCUCCAUAAAUGGCUGGUAAAUCACACUGUUGGGGAUUAAGUGUCCAAUGUUAUCACUAGGCUGGAGUGCUGCUUCACUCUAGGGAGACGUGCCCAUCGUGGAAAUGGAGGGGAAAUCUGCAAUUCGAAGAGCUAAGAUAUGGAACCCUCAGCAGGUCUUCUCUUAAUUCUUUAGCUCUUCUCCCUGGCUCCAACAACCUGCCUAUCGCAAAGGAUGGCAUAGAGGCAAGACAGUGUGUGUGGAAUCCCUGAUCUUGUCUACGGCAACCCACCAAUGUUGUGUGAAACGGGAAUGGCUCAAGGUGUUAGAGCUCCCCAGUUUUGAAGUGGGGUGUGUGUAACUUUAACCCUGAACUCACACAUCCAAUUGCAUAUCGGACACUCUGCUUGUCUUAUUCAGUAGGAAUUACAGAGCCAAUCACUGAGACACACACCCACAAAUAUGCCUUUUUGGUUUAUUUGCUUUUUCAAAUACAGGUAGUUUAGCCUGAGCACUGUUUACCAGGCACUACCUCAGAGGAAAGAGCUGCGAGUACUCAUGUCAAAUUUCUUGGCUCAGGAAGUUCAGUUCCUACCAGAGGAAACCAGGAGGGCUCCCCUGACAGGCACUGAGGCCUCCAGUUUGGGAGGUGAUGGCAGGGGAAGGAAGGACAGUGUAAACUCUGCUUCGACAUCACAGCCUACUACUAAGACAGAGCCAGGGCCGGAACAGGGCUGAGAAACAGAGGGAGUAAGAAGGCGGAAAAACCAACCUGCUUGUUAAUAUGUCUAUUUUACAUGGCAUCUUUGAAGAUGAAACUGCUACUUACACUGCUGUACUCCAAUUCAGUGACUUUUACAAGGCCACAGGGGGACUUGUUCCAGUUUGAACAAGCUGAAAACGUCUUCAAGCUGACAGAAUAAUGAGUGUUUUUUCUUUGUUUAAUAUUUUUGAUCCAGAUCGGUUAACUGUGGUUUCUGUCAUUUCUAUCCAAUAUACCUUUUGCUGUUCAGCUAAGUUUCUUUGAUUUUGGAAGAUUCCAUUUCUGGCAUGUAUAAUAAGAAAGCAAUUAUUUUAAGUUAUUAUUAAGAAAUUUCUAGAAUUGUGCAUUCAGUAUUUGACUCUCUGGUUAGCUAGUUAAUUUUAAAACUGAAAGUUUUGACAGAAUGUUUUCUUUUCCCUUUUUACCUUGUCCUGUUUGUAUUUAUAUUUUAUUUGAAGAUUUAGCUUUGACUGGGGCUUGGCCUUUCGUGUCCGGACAACCAGAGAGAGAGAGUUUUUGAGAACAAAGGAUGUAUCCAGAUAAGCCCAGCUGGGAUUGGAUUUGAAAUAGGUCAGAGACUGAACAUAUAACAGACUGAUGUUGGCCCUGAGAGAGCUUUAUCAGCAUACUUUCUAUUAUUAAAAUAUUUAUUAUUCAAUGCUACAAGUUAUUAAUUUUUAAUAUAUACUGUGGAACUGGGGCCGGCACUGUGGUGCUGUUGGUUAAUCCUCUGCCUGAGGCACUGGGGUCCCAUAUGGGCGCUGGUUCUAGUCCCAGCUGCUCCUCUUCCGAUCCAGCUCUCUGCUAUGGCCUGGGAAAGCAGUAGAAGAUGGCCCAAGUCCUUGGGCCCCUGCACCCACGUGGGAGACCCUGAAGUAGCUCCUGGCUCCUGGCUUCGGAUUGGCUCAGCUCCGGCCAUUGCUGCCAUCUGGGGAGUGAACCAGCAGAUAGAAGACCUUUCUCUCUCUGUCUCUACCUCUCUGUGUAACUAUGCCUCUCAAAUAAAUAAAUAAAAUCUUUAAAAAAAUUACGCACACACACACUGUGGAACUGAGAUUCAGAAAAGUCAGGCAAUUUCCCCAAGCUUACCCAGCUGCUGUGGAAUCCUGGCUCUGCUUGCUUGUGAAGCCUACUCUUGCUUUUCAACUACUUUCUCCAUCUUUAAAGCUAGGGUCUUUAUGGCCGAAAUUCCCUAACGUCCUAGAUGUUUUUUAACGUUUCUUUAUUUACUUUUUAUCUAUUUAAAAUAAAGAGUGAUAUAUAUAGAGAGAAUCUGCCACCUACUGGUUUACUCCCUAAAUGCCCACAACAGCGGGGGCUGGGCAAGGCUGAAGCCAGGAGCCAGGGGCUUCAUUCAGGUCUCCUAUGUGGAUGAGAGGGGCCCAAGUAUUUGCUGCUCUCCGAGGUGUGAAUUAGCCGGAAGCUGGCUCAGCAGCUGUGGUGGCACUUCAGCCUAGGCAGUGUGACGUGGGGUGUGGGCAGCAUCCUAAGUGGUGGCUUAGCUUGCUGCACAUGUUUGCUCCAGGCCUAGAGAGUUUUGCCUCUAGGUAGUAGGAAUUGUGAUGACAAAAGUACCAGUGCUGUUCGUGUACAGAGUUUUGUGUGCCCCUCAGGUUGUAAUCCUGCCCUCCAACGUGUAAUGUCAGAUGGGGCCCUGGAGAGGUAACUGGAUCACGAAGGCGGAGUGGAUUACUUGCCUCAAAAGACGCUCCAGAGAAUUCCGAAGGCUCCUUUCCUCCAAAUGGGGAUGCAACCCCAGGAGGGCCCUUUCCAGAAGCUGGCAACGCGGGUACCCUCGCCGUGGAUUUCCAUUCUCAGGGCCGUACGAAGCACUUUCCUGCUGUUUAUCAGCCAUCCGUGGCUAUGGUACUUUGUUAUAGCUGCUCUACCUGGAGAAGACAAGCAUCAUGUACCUGCCCUUGAUAAUUUCCACACAAGUGCAUGCGCCCCACCUCAGUUUUACAGGGCUGGCAGUGAUAUUUAAUCCCACUUUACAGAUAAAGACACAGACACUAGGAUCUGUUUUCUUGAAUCUGUGUACUUUCCUUCUCUGGGUAUAAGAACACAGACCUUGUGCCUUGUACGCGGUUAAGCUGAUCAGACCAGGAAAGAGGUAAGAGGCUAUCUUCCCUAGGCCAGGUUCUCAGGAUUGUCCUCUGAGCCUGCCGUGUAGUCUUGCUUGGCUUCUGUGUUCCUUCUGUUGCUCUGUUGCUUUCCUACUAUUUCCUGCAGACCCAUUGCUUGCUGCCUCCUCUGUGUGCACCCAUUUUUGACGCUUGCCUAUCUUUCUCAUCCUGUGAGGCUUUGUCUCCUUUAUUGUGGUUUGCCGGUUGCUACAGCAGCUCACAGCUCAGCUGUGCUCAGCGGUGCCUCAGGCAAGUGCUAAGGCGGAUUGGGAGGAGACGUGGAAAUGGGGACUCUAGGCUCAUUGGUUGCAUGGCUCUGAGGGUUCAUCCUUGUUCUCUGUGCCCCAGUUCCCUGUUGUCAGAACAGGGUCUGGGCUUAAUAACCACCAGGCCCCUCCCCAGUGCUGAUACAUUAUGGCACAAUGUGAGAGGCCUGUCUGCUCAACUUUCGGAACAUGGACAUGCUGAUUUUGUGGCUUAGGACGGUCAGGACUAAGGGUAGGUAGGAGUUUUAAAUUUUUUUUUAUUGCACAAAAGAGAGAACUUGUAUUUCUCCAAGGUAUUGACAAACCCAAGGGAUGCUACACACUUAUCCAUCCCACCACCUGCAUUCCAUGGAACACAACAGAAGUGAGAAACUCAAAAUGCAGUGCAGUGUGCUGGUGCCUCAAGCAAGAGUUAGAUGAAAAACAUCCCAAGUACCCAAUUCCGUAAGCUCAACUUGGUUAGGAGGAAGGAGAAGCUGGGAGACAGGGCCAACUCUUUGGGGAAUUUUAUUAUCUUUUUUUUGUAAAAGCUUUGAAGAGAAGAAUUCCAUUUUUCAUCUUGAGGAGGGCAGAAAGACUGGCGAAUAAACCCUGUGGGCAUUAUAGAUGUGUAAAUAUGGAACAAAAAUUCUAUAGAAAAUGCUAAUAGUGUCUCCUUGAGGUUGCAAUCUUGAUUUGGGAUUUUGGCAUUCAUUAUCUGCUCUCUUAUUCUUCUGAGCAAGGGUGAGCAUGUCCUAUUUUCUCAAGUUUUGUCUUUCUUUCUCUCCUUCUUUCUUUCUUUUUUAUAAGUUUUUGUCCUUGAAUUACAGUUUCAACAACUAGCAGAGGAGAAUAAAUGGGCAUUGUUAUCAGGAGGACUGGGGAAAAUCCUGAUCAAAUUUAUACACGGUAUAUCUAUGUUUGUCCUAUUAUUAAGAUGUUCUAAUUACUAUAUUAGUCCGCUUUUUUUUUUUACUAUAAUGAAGUGCCUGACGUAACUAACUUAUAAGGAUGAGAGAUUCAUUUAGCUAAAUAAAUGCAGAUCCACAGUUCAAGUUUCAUGGGCUCCAUUGGUUUGGCCUCUGGCGGUACGAUGCUUGCUGGCACAUUUUCAAGGGGCAGAGGGUGUCACCUGGCAAGAGACAGGAGGCACGUGUGUCUCUAUGGGUAUGUGUUUUCUUAUAGUGUCACCAGGAUUUAAUCCUGGGGACUCCACCACAAUGACCCAGCCAAGCCAAUCCCAACACUAUAAUUUGAUUAGGUUUCCACUCUUCUAGCACCAUUAACUUACGAGUUUGGGGACCAAACCCUUCAGUUUGGGGCCACAAAUAUUCAGUUGUAGCAAUUACCAAGCUUUGGAGAAAGCUGGAAUCCUCAGACGUAUGAGUCGCCUUUGAUCUGUGUGGCUUCCUGGGUCCCAGGACACAUCAAUGUGUGGCCCAGGUUUGCUUAUACUUCAGUGUGGGAAUCCUGGCAACAGGGCUUUCAAGCAGGUGUAAAGGGGUAGCACUCAGGUACUUCACAAGGGAGAGAGAAAAUUUCUAAAGAGAAGCCUCUGAAUUUGCUAGUGGUAAGGACAAAACACCAGCUCUCCAAUGAACAUUUAAAUAAAUCAAGCCUAAGGCUUAUUGGGCAAAUUUAUUUUCUUUUCGGUUGAAAUACAAUCAAGGAAAACACUGUUGAGACUAUCAGUAUAGAUCAACUUAUUGCUGUUUACUAGUGUGGCUCUGAGUACACGCUGACUACCUACGAGCUUUUUGUGCAUAGAAUGCUAGGUCUGCUUACUUUCAUUUUCCAUGUGAUCGAGGGUUUUUCACACUUUCUUGCACAUUAGAAUCACCUGAGGAAUUAAAAAAACAACUGUCUAGGGUGCACCUGAUGCUGAUUAAAUCAGAAUCUCUGGCAGUAGGAACCAACUAUCAGCAUUUUUUUUUAACUUUCAUAGGUGAUUCCAAUGCGCAGCCAAGUCUGAGAACCAAUGUUAUAGACCAAUGGUUCUCAGACUUGAGCAUGUGUCAGUAUCACCUGGAGAGCUUGUUAAAACUUGGUUUUUGGGUUUUACCUCCAAGGUUUGCUAAGUAGUUUUAAGAAAGAACUCAAGAACUUUUAUUUGUUACAAGUUACCAGGUGAUGCUACUGGUCUGGGAAUUAUACUUAGAGAGGCACUGUUUGAGAGUUUCAGGUAUGUUAACUCUACCAGGGUGGAUGGGGUGAAAAUAUCUAAGCUAUAACGAUGAAUCUGGGCUAGACUGGUAAAACUAGGGAAUGUAAUGGGGCUUAGGAAGUAUUUGUGCAAUCAUGUUUUUUUUCUGCUACAAUUGGCCAUAUUUGAUUUUUAUUGACAGCAUGCUUUGUUUCGGGUUGGAUUUAGUUCAGGGCUUAAAUUCCUAUCACAGUCUAUUUCCUAUGGAUUAAAGCUGUCUCGCAAAUGCAAAUGGAGGAAUCUCCGUGGAUUCGGGUUCCUUAGCCCAGGUGUCAGAUGAGAUGUCAUGGUGCACUGUGACUUUUCUCCUCUCGCUCCAGUGCUGGCUUGUCCCAGUGGUUGAGGCAGAUGCCCUCAGAGGCAUGGGACAUGUCCUUGCCCCAGGAAGACUACAGCUUUUUCUUCAUUGAACUUCAUAGUUCCAGCCUGGCCAGCUCUUGUUUCAGCUUAGUGCAGUUUUUUUUUCUCCUAUUACAAAUAUUAUCUGCACAAUUCUCUUAGCUUUACUAGUCCCAUUAAAGUGUCAUUAGGUUUCCCAUUAGCAGCUACUGUUGAUGGUUUCCUGUGGAGACCUCAGCGUGAGCCUCCUUGCUGUGAAUUUGAGCUGGGGGAGAAGAGAAUAGAAGGAAAUGUGGAGACUCCACUACUACCUGCCUCCUGACUUCAACACACACACCAGGCUGGAACCAACGUCUUCUUUCUUCAGGCAAAGUUGGCAGCAGGUACUGCACACUACUGAUUGUACUGGAGCGCCUGAUACCACAUUUUUUUCAUCCAGUCGUCAGCUGAUGAAUAUCUAGUGGAUUCCAUAUCCUAGCUGUUGUGAACUAAACUGCUAUAAACACAGGUAUGCAGGUAGCUCUUUCUUAUGCUGCUUUAGUUCCCUUGGGUAUAUUCCUAGCAGUGGGAUAUUGUGGUCAUAUGGUAGACCUAUUUUUAGUUUUCUGUCUUCCAUAAUGGGUACAUUCGUUUGCAUUCCCACUGACAGUAUAUUCAGGUACUUUUAUCUCUGUAUCCUCGCCAACAUUUGUUACUUUCUGAUUUUUGGAUACUAGUCUUCAAACUGGGUUGAGGUGAUACCACAUUGUGAUUUUUAUUUGCAUUUCACUGAUCACUAGUGAUUCUGAGUGUUUAUGUUUUUUUAUGAGGCAGUUUAAUUAAUCAGAGAUCUAGGUAGACAACAAACUGCGAACUACCAAGUACUGGCUAUUUGUAUUUCAUCCUUUGAAAAAUGCCUAUUCAUAUCCUUUUUAAUAAAUAUUUAUUUAUUUAUUAGAAUUAUAGAGAGAGGGCAAGAGACA